rnacentral:rRNA from 1 species
AGCUCGGAGAUAGCUGGUUCUCCUCGAAAGCUAUUUAGGUAGCGCCUCGUAUCUCACCAUUGGGGGUAGAGCACUGUUUGGGCUAGGGGGUCAUCCCGACUUACCAACCCCAUGCAAACUCCGAAUACCAAUGAGUGCAAUUACGGGAGACACACGGCGGGUGCUAACGUCCGUCGUGGAAAGGGAAACAACCCAGACCGUCAGCUAAGGUCCCAAAGUUACAGUUAAGUGGGAAACGAUGUGGGAAGGCUUAGACAGCUAGGAGGUUGGCUUAGAAGCAGCCAUCCUUUAAAGAAAGCGUAAUAGCUCACUAGUCGAGUCGGCCUGCGCGGAAGAUAUAACGGGGCUAAAACUGUACACCGAAGCUACGGAUGCAAGAUUUAUCUUGCAUGGUAGAGGAGCGUUCUGUAAGCCGUUGAAGGUCAAGCUGUAAGGCAGGCUGGAGGUAUCAGAAGUGCGAAUGUUGACAUGAGUAACGAUAAGGGGAGUGAAAAACUUCCCCGCCGGAAGACCAAGGUUUCCUGUCCCAUGCUAAUCAGGGCAGGGUGAGUCGGCCCCUAAGGCGAGGCAGAAAUGCGUAGUCGAUGGGAAACAGGUUAAUAUUCCUGUACUUAUGUAUAUUGCGAUGGAGAGACGGAGAAGGCUAGGCUAGCACGGCGAUGGUUGUCCGUGUUUAAGGUGGUAGGUUGAGAGCUUAGGUAAAUCCGGGCCCUCUUAAGACCGAGAACUGAUGACGAGUCCUCUUUUGGACGAAGUAGUUGAUGCCAUGCUUCCAGGAAAAACUUCUAAGCUUCAGAUAUACAUGAACCGUACCCCAAACCGACACAGGUGGUCAGGUAGAGAAUACCAAGGCGCUUGAGAGAACUCGGGUGAAGGAACUAGGCAAAAUGGCACCGUAACUUCGGGAGAAGGUGCGCCGGUUAGUGUGAAGGAUUUACUCCGUAAGCAUUGAUCGGUCGAAGAUACCAGGUGGCUGCGACUGUUUAUUAAAAACACAGCACUCUGCAAACACGAAAGUGGACGUAUAGGGUGUGACGCCUGCCCGGUGCUGGAAGGUUAAUUGAUGGGGUUAGCGUAAGCGAAGCUCUUGAUCGAAGCCCCAGUAAACGGCGGCCGUAACUAUAACGGUCCUAAGGUAGCGAAAUUCCUUGUCGGGUAAGUUCCGACCUGCACGAAUGGCGUAACGAUGGCCACACUGUCUCCACCCGAGACUCAGUGAAAUUGAAAUCGCAGUGAAGAUGCUGUGUAUCCGCGGCUAGACGGAAAGACCCCGUGAACCUUUACUAUAGCUUCACAGUGAACUUUGAACCUACUUGUGUAGGAUAGGUGGGAGGCUUUGAAACUAGGACGCCAGUUCUAGUGGAGCCAAACUUGAAAUACCACCCUGGUAUGUUUGAGGUUCUAACUCAGGUCCCUUAUCGGGAUCGAGGACACUGUGUGGUGGGUAGUUUGACUGGGGCGGUCUCCUCCCAAAGAGUAACGGAGGAGCACGAAGGUGUGCUCAGCAUGGUCGGAAAUCAUGCGUAGAGUGUAAAGGCAAAAGCGCGCUUAACUGCGAGACAGACACGUCGAGCAGGUACGAAAGUAGGUCUUAGUGAUCCGGUGGUUCUGUAUGGAAGGGCCAUCGCUCAACGGAUAAAAGGUACUCCGGGGAUAACAGGCUGAUACCGCCCAAGAGUUCACAUCGACGGCGGUGUUUGGCACCUCGAUGUCGGCUCAUCACAUCCUGGGGCUGAAGCCGGUCCCAAGGGUAUGGCUGUUCGCCAUUUAAAGUGGUACGCGAGCUGGGUUUAGAACGUCGUGAGACAGUUCGGUCCCUAUCUGCCGUGGACGUUUGAGAUUUGAGAGGAGCUGCUCCUAGUACGAGAGGACCGGAGUGGACGAACCUCUGGUGUUCCGGUUGUCACGCCAGUGGCAUUGCCGGGUAGCUAUGUUCGGACGGGAUAACCGCUGAAAGCAUCUAAGCGGGAAGCCUCCCUCAAGAUGAGAUCUCACUGGGACAUAAGUCCCCUAAAGAGCCGUUGAAGACUACGACGUUGAUAGGUUGGGUGUGUAAGUGCUGUGAGGCAUUGAGCUAACCAAUACUAAUUGCUCGUGAGGCUUGACCAU